CCAGCUAUUACCACGAGCCCGUCCUCCCCAAUUAAGGUGCUACCAACCUCCUGUGGCGUAUAUUGUAUCGCUGACAUUCUUGUUUGGGUUUUUAUAGUGUAAAUUUUUAUCAGUCAUAUCGUGGCCAAAUCGCUGUACACACAGCACUCACUCACUCGCACGCCGUCGUGUGAACAGCCUAGGGCCGAUUGCAGCAGUAGCUAUGGAAACCAAGCCAUGCGGAGGGCACUCCCCGCACACUGCUAUUAGCCGAGGCAAUUGCUGGGCGAACGCCGAACUGUGAUUGGAUUAAAAAAUUAAACUGCGUGACGUAGAAAAGCCCAUGGGCCGAAAUCUCUUCCUUCCUCAUCACCACCACCUCCUCGUGUGUGUGUGUGUGUGUGUGUGUGUACAACAGUCUGCUCAGAGCUCCUACGUCACUCUGUCCUGGUAGAGUAGGACGUACAAGCUGACGUCUAUGCGGCUGAAAGCAGAGUCACUGUGGUAUCUAUAUGACUCUCUCUAGCUAAAACACAAACACUGCUUAGCAACAACUGGCUAGGUGGGUAGUUAAAACACACACUGUUUAACAGUAGGUAGGUAGGUGGUUAGGUUGGUAGGUAGGUAGGUAGGUGGUUGGUUAGGUGGUUAGGUAGGUAGGUAGCUAGGUAGGUGGUUAGGUAGAUGGGUAGGUGGGUAGGUAGGUGGUUGGGUAGGUGGGUAGGUAGCUAGCUAGGUAGGUAGGUGGUUAGGUAGGUAGGUAGGUGGGUAGCUAGCUAGGUGGGUACGUGGGUAGGUGGGUAGGUUGGUAAUUAGGUAGGUGGUUAGGUAGGUAGGUAGGUAGGUGGUUGGUUAGGUAGGUAGGUGGUUAGGUAGGUAGCUAGGUAGGUGGGUGGGUAGGUGGUUAGGUAGGUGGGUAGGUAGGUGGUUAGGUGGGUAGGUGGGUAGGUAGGUGGGUGGUUAGGUAGGUGGUUAGGUAGGUAGGUAGGUAGGUGGGUGGGUGGGUAGCUAGGUAGGUAGCUAGGUAGGUAGCUAGGUGGUUAAAACACAAAUACUCUAAAUGAGAGACAAUGACAGGUGGCAGUGAUGUCAGUCUGCAUGCAGUGUUCUUAGCUUUAAAAAAAUGGCCUCAAGGCUCAGCGCGAUAGGUUAAUCCAAUACAUUUCACCAGGGCUAGAGGGGCUGAGUGUCUAGAGGGGCUGAGUGUCUAGAGGGGCUGAGUGACUAGAGGGGGGGCUAGAGGGGCUGAGUAUCUAGAGGGGGGGCUAGAGGGGCUGAGUGUCUCGGGGGGCUAGAGGGGCUGAGUGUCUCGGGGG
ensembl:lncRNA